UGCGUGCCAUCAAUCGAGCGAAGGGAUUAAAGCACGUAGUACAGUGCGUCAUCGUAGCGGUAAAGACUAUCGGAAACAUAGUCCUCGUCACCAGCCUCCUGCAGUUCGUGUUCGCCGUCAUUGGCGUACAGCUCUUCAAGGGCAAGUUUUUCUAUUGUACCGAUGCAUCGAAAAUGACGAAGCUCGAGUGCCGGGGCACUUAUUUGGAAUUCGAGGACGGUAAUAUCAAUAGACCGGCCGUGAAACAGAGAGAGUGGCUUCAGCAACGUUUUCACUUUGAUGACGUCGCUAAGGCGAUGCUGACCCUCUUUACGGUCUCGACUUUCGAAGGUUGGCCAUCGUAAGUACAUUUUCAUUGUGUUCG